GUAUGAGUAGUGGGGGUGGGGGUGGGAUGUUGCGCCAUAUUGCCCUUUUGCCUCAGGCAGCAAAAUGGCUUGAGCCAACCAGGAAAAUAAAUGAAAGUAAGCUAACAGAUGACUGCUCUUACCUAAAGUGGGUUUGUGGUUUUACCGGCCGAAGCAAGAGAAAAGUAGUCCGCUCCUGCUGAGGGGCAUGGUGUUAAGUUUUGUUAGGAAGACAGAAUGAGGUACAAUAUAAUAUGUGUAUGAAUAGCGUCGUGGUCGCUCGAUGGCACUGGGCUUUAUUUGACUCUGGGUGGAGUCAAGACUUUCCUGUUUCCGCUUUGUUCUUGUUGGAGAGGAAGAAUAAAGUUCUUGUUUAGGUUCUUGGCUGGUAUAUCUUCUAAGUGUUCCCUGUCAGUAAGCUACUUUGAGCAUGCCAAUAUGCCUACCAAACAUUUUAGGCUGUGUUAAUUGAUUUAAGCUGCAAUCCUAUCCAUACUUUGCAGCUCUGCUCCUCUCAUUUUAGGAGUAUGACAUAUUUUGGGGCCUCCUCAAAUUAUAAUGUGACCCAGGGGCCCUAUUCAUUUUUAGUCUCGUUCACAUUCUGCCUCAGGAUGAAACACAUGGAUGGAAAAGAAAUAGAACUAUAAGCCGUUUCCUAUUGGAAGUCUGUAAGGUGAGGAACCUUAGGCCUGGGGAGCAAAUGCAGCCCUAAAGGCCUCUCUAGCAUUCAGGCCAUACCUCUCACUGGUCUUGUUUCAUUCACACUCUCUUUGAAUGUCUUUAUGGGUCUAAUAUAACUCUGAUAAUGCCUCUUGCUUGCUUGGAUGAAAGACAAGAAAGAAAUGUGUGUGUGUGUGUGUGUGUGUGUGUGUGUGUAGAAACUAGUCUACAAAAAUAAAUUCACAUUAAUUGAUCUGCCUACUUCCCUCUGGCCCUGCCCACCACCAGAAUAUGGCCCCUAGAAGGUUUUCUAAAAUGGAAUGCUGUUGUCAAACAGAAAAAGAUCUCCAACCCUGGUUUAGGCCUUAUGCCUUGCUACAAAUGGAGGCAACCUGUGCUCCACAGGGGGGAAAAGAACCUUUAACAGGGACCUAGUGGGUGGCAACACAGGAGAAAACCCAAUCCAUUUCAUUAUGGCUCCAUAUCUAGUAUAUCCCACAUUCUCAAGAUGCUGCAGCUAAAUCUGAGCUAGAAUACUGUCUAUUUAUUGACACAUCAUUUUAAAUAGAUACAAGAGGAUCAGGUUUACUCACCCAUAUCAGGAUGCAAAUUGAAGUAGAGGAACUUAUUAGUACAGGAAAACAUGUUUGAAAUUGCUGACCGAAAACAUUUCCGGUACUGGAUGAGUUGCUUACCUAAGAAGCAGCAGCAGGGGACUGAACCCCUGAGCCAAGUCUGUCACCUUUAGAGACAAUUUUCCACUGCUGCAUCAUGGGGAAGAAAAAGGACCAGAUUUAUGAAGGAUAUGUGUCUGGAAUUUCCUAGAUAAAGCCAGGAUUUGGCCAUCAGAAACAGUGUUUGGGCAAAAUUGCUUAAAUGUACAGGAAAAUCUGGAUGUAGGACAACCCAUGCCAAAAGUGUAGAUUUUGUUGAAUUUCCUUUACAAUAGCUCAAAAUCUUCUUCUUUUUGAGAUUUUGCCCCCCCAAAAAUCUCAACAACUUUUGUUUCCAGAUUCUCACUUUAUGAAAUAUGGCAACCCUAAUAUACAUCCUUUUUUUUUGAAGGUACUAUUUUAACACUUUGCUAAUUGCCGCCUAGGGGUCCUUUGGUAGGAAAAGUGGGAUACACAACUAUUAUCAUUACAGUGGUACCUUGAGUUACAAACGCCUCAGGUUACAAACGCUUCAGAUUACAAACUCCGCUAACCUGGAAGAGUUACCUCAAGCUGAGAACUUCGCCCCAGGAUGAGAAUGGAAAUUGUGUGCCGGCGGCACAGCAGCAGCAAGAGGCCCCAUUAGCGAAAGCAUGCCUCUAGUUAAGAACAGUUUCAGGUUAAGAAUGGACCUCCGGAACGAAUUAAGUUCAUAACUAGAGGUACCACUGUAUUAUUAUUUCACUCCUCCUCCUUAUUUAGGAGUGUGCUCUUAGUGCUUCUUUUUAAUUCUAUUCUCUCUUAGCAGGGCCUGCCCAAGACCUUUUGGCACCUGAGGCAAAGCACAAAAUGGCGCCUCCCUCCCCACCAGGGAAGAACAGGUGAGUGAAUAUCUACAUCAGGUACAAGAAGGGAAUAAAGAUCUGCAUUGGGAUCUGCUGCCCCUGUUCAUCCUGCUGCCUGAGGUGGUUACCUCACCUUGCCUCAUGGGUGGGCCGGCCCUGUCUCUUAGUCAUGAAAGAUGGGGGGGUGGAUUGUGGAAAUAUAUACUAUUAAUUGGUUUAGCACAGAAAGUUGACUGGUGCCUUGAUGACAACUCUGUUGGAAAGUACUGCAAAAGUGUAAUGCAAAACUGAUCGAUAGAUUAAAUGCACCAGAUAUAUUCUGUUUGAGAGGCGGAACAAAAUAAUUUACAGUAAUAAAACAUAAAAACAUUAUUUUUAGCUCCCCAUCUGCCAAGUUGCCCACAAUUAGCAAAUGCAAUAUACUUCCUGGCCUACAGAAUGUUCUUCAGAGCACAUCAAUGAAAGCUGAAACACAUGCUUGGGGAAUACAUCUGCUCUUAAUCUGCAGCAUUCUGAAGUCAACACAAAUAUUUUUGCUAUUUUCCCCUUAACUCUCAACAAUCAGAAAGCCUGUGGCAUGCCACAGCGGAAGAGCUGAAAACCGAAUGAGACUGCAAUUCGAUAUACACUUACCUUGGAGGAAGGUCCAUUGAAUUCAGUGUGUCUUACGGGAAGACAAGCCCAGAGAAGUAGUGUAAACCUGAGAAGCAGGAGAAAGUAACAAAAUGAGACCCAGUUUAAAAAAUAAUGAUAAUUAAAGUAUCAGAUAUCCAUAUAACUCUGUAAUGUUAUAGAAUAAGCAAGACUGAGGCCCCACCUAUACAUUUAAAGCAGAAUCCGAACACUUUAAAUCAGAGCUUUCCAAACUGUGUGUCAUGACACGUUAGUGUGUCAGCUGCAGUGUGUAGGAGUGUCGUGUGAACGCUCCCUGGGUUCGUCCCAGGACUGGAAAGGGGUUUGUUUAACAUCCAGUUUGCUAGUAAAACUGAAUUACUGUGUCGCAGAAUGAUUCAUGUCUAAAAAGUGUGUCACCAACAUGAAAAGUUUAGAAGGCUCUGCUAGUCAUGACUUCCCUAAGGGAUCCUGAAAACUGUAGUUAGUUAAGGGUGCUGAGUGUUUGUAGGAGACCCCUGUUAAUCUUACAGAGCUACAGUUCUCAGAGUCCCCUAGAAAGAGGGGUUGGUGAUUAAACUAUUCUAAAAAUUGUAGCUGUGUCAGACAGUCUCCUAACAACUCUUUGCACACUUCACAAACUAGACUAUGCCAUGACUAUUUUAAACCAUAUGAUAUUGCUUUAAAUGUAUCAAAAAGAUGGGGUCUCAGACAAAGGCAGACCAUUGUAUAGCGGUUAGAUUUCUCAUAUAUAAUUUACUGGAAUUCACUGAGACCUUAUAAAACUAUCAGAGGAAAAACUAUGUAGGAAAAGCCUUCGAACUGUGUAUUCCAACAUUCUUUUCUGAAACAACAAACGGUUUUGCAGUUGAUCUCCUUAAUUAAUUCCAGUAAGAAAAAUUAUGCAUGACAGACUACUUUUUAAUUUUUUUAAAAAAACGAUGAUAAUAAUACGAAUACUAUCUGGGAAUAAUUUGUAAAGUGAAUGUAACUAUGUGGAAGCAAAUGUUGCAAUGUGAGAAAUUGGCUUCCCAUAGAUGACAACAAUGCACAUUUGUUGGUCACAUGGGCUUACAACCACAUUGCAAGAAUGUCUGUAUAUUCCUUCCAAAAUAUGCCUCCCGCUUCAUACUUUCCAAUUAUACUAAUAAAUAGUGUAAUUUAUGAACAUUUCCCCCAAAACAUUUAGUACAGCGGUGUCCAAACUUUUUUCAAAGAGGGCCAGAUUUGAUAAAGUGAAGAGCCAUGAGGGCUGACCAAAGGGCCAACCAAAGUUGUUGACCUUUUUUUACCCCAAAGUUGUUGAGCUUUGGACAUGCCUGAUUUAGUAGAAAGAUUCCUCAUUCUUUGUCAAACAUGCUUCUGGAACUGGAAGGAAAGGGAGAAUAACCAUGGAGGCAAUGUGCAGCAAGAAACAGUGCAGCUGCCAAAUGUUUAAGGCUGUGUACACACCAUGUGCAAAACAAAAAAUAGAAUUAAAAACACUUUUCACUACUCUCUGUGCUAUGAAACUUUAAUAAAACACUGUCAAGUUGUGUACUGCUGCCCCUAACUCCUACAAAUAAAAACAAUGUUGUGGCGCUUUAAGCAUCCCAUUUCGCCAAGCAUGGCUAUCGCACGAGCACCAGUGAGAUACAAGGAGCAUUGCACCCUUUCCACACAUACUCCAUUACCAUUUCUGGAACGCUCAGCACUCUGAAAGUAAUGCUGUAAAAGAGAUCACCAUAAUUCCUGCGAAACGGUGACUGGCUCAAGGCCAUUGAAUGAGCUACCCCCUCUUAAAAAGCAAGGCUAGCUACAACAUUCACACGCAUAUAUUCUGGCCCUUGAGUCCAGUCCAAAAUAUUUAUUCUCUAAGUUAAGAUAAUAAUUACAUCAUUGUUCUAUAGCUGGGUGAGACAUGGGAUACCAUUCUUUCAAAAGUGGAUUGGGGGUGAAAUUAUUUCUAUAUUCGUUAUUGCCCCUUGAAUGAGAAAUGUUAUUUCUGUUUAUUAGCAGUGGAAACAUGAGGUUUUCAGUUACAGUUGCAAUCCAGAGAUAUCUGAGCUGAUAACUUUUUACUUUUUUUUAAUAAAAGGGUUUAAGUUAUCACAAAGUCUUGUUAUUUGAUUUCUACAAGACUUGGAAGUUUUGCUCCCCGCUGUGUUUGAAGCCCUCAGGUACUGCUCUGUUUUGCAGCAGAAACGUCAGAGAGAAUAUAUUCAGUCAGCCGCUGUAGACUGAAUUUCAUUUUGCUCUCCGAAUGAAUAAAGGCAAAAAGUGCAACGUCCGCUGGGUCAUACACUCUGAAAUGUGAG